rnacentral:piRNA from 1 species
UGCACAACUGCCCUGUCUUCUGUACGC